rnacentral:rRNA from 1 species
UACGGAGGGUGCAAGCGUUAUCCGGAUUUACUGGGGUUAAAGGGUGUGUAGGCGGACUUUUAAGUCAGCGGUGAAAUCUCCGGGCUCAACCCGGAAACUGCCAUUGAUACUAUUGGUCUUGAAUGUUGUUGAGGUGGGCGGAACGGGUCAUGUAGCGGUGAAAUGCAUAGAUAUGACCCGGAACACCGAUUGCGAAGGCAGCCCACUAAGCAAUGAUUGACGCUGAGGCACGAAAGCGUGGGGAUCAAACAGG